rnacentral:tmRNA from 1 species
GGGGGCGACUUGGUUUCGACGCGGGUAUCAAAGUUUGCGGUGCAUGCCGAGAGGGUAGUGACUCUCGUAAAACAAUCGCUGUAACUUUUUACAGUUGCCAACGACGAAAACUACGCACUAGCGGCCUAAAAAACCCGCUUACGUCCAUGAUUCGUUUCUUGCUAGGAGAAAUGGACGGCAAAACAGCAAGAUCGCGCGGAUGCCUCGCCCGGGGCUGAACCGUUAAAACCAAUCGGGAUCGCUGAACGCACCCUGACCGUCGGGUCGCAGGAAGCUAAAUCAAUAGACGGACUCUAAGCAUGUAGAGCCAAUAAUGGCGAGCCAGCGGACGCGGGUUCAACUCCCGCCGCCUCCACCA